UGAGAACUUGAGUGCCAACCACCGCAGAAAUAGUGAAAAACAUGUGAAAGGCUAAUUGUUAUUGUUGCAGGGUUAACUUAUUUGGAUAGCCGAGAGAAAGAACAAAAUUCAUUUCUGAUAAUGGAUGUGAGUUAUACUGCCGUAGAAAAUACCUUCAAGAUUAUCCAGAUACUCUGCUGCUUUGUUUACAACACGACGGAUUUGAAAUAGUGAUCCGUAUUGCAUCACACUGCAAGAAGCACACCAUAGCUGGAGUCUUUUACAUGUACAUGUAUAUUUACUUUGUAUUGUGCUACUGGUACAAAAUGCAGACAAUUCAACAACUUGGAUGUUACUAACUCUUUAGAUGCCAGUUAGUUUUAUAUGUCAAAUUUUCUAAAAGACUUUGUAACAAACAAUGGAAACCAUUCACAAGUAAAAGGAAUUCCACAGAACAAUGAUUCCGUGACUGCGUGAGAACACUUUACUGUGUGUUAGGCCUUUUUUUUUUUAUCAUUUUAAUAUGAUGUUUAAAAGUAAAUAAAACUUAAAACGGA